UUCUUUGGGCGAUGGGGUGACACAGGAAGGUAGCGUCGCCAGUGAGUGGUAGUACUGGUGUAAGGGUGUAGGGAGUUCUGACAGGCAAAUCCGUCGGAACAUUAUUCUGAGACCUGAUGCAUAGCCGAUUGAGGCGAAGUAGCGUGAUCCUAUGCUGUCAAGAAAAGCCUCUAGCGAGCUCCGAGCGGCCCGUACCCUAAACCGACACAGGUGGUCAGGUAGAGAAUACCGAGGUGAUCGAGCGAACUAUGGUUAAGGAACUCGGCAAAAUGCCCCCGUAACUUCGGGAGAAGGGGGACCGGGUUGGGUGAGGCCCCUUGCGGGCUGGCCUGGUCCGGUCGCAGAGACCAGAGAGAAGCGACUGUUUACUAAAAACACAGGUCCAUGCGAAGUCGUAAGACGAUGUAUAUGGACUGACGCCUGCCCGGUGCUGGAAGGUUAAGAGGACCGGUUAGUCCGUAAGGGCGAAGCUGAGAAUUUAAGCCCCAGUAAACGGCGGUGGUAACUAUAACCAUCCUAAGGUAGCGAAAUUCCUUGUCGGGUAAGUUCCGACCUGCACGAAUGGCGUAACGACUUCUCUACUGUCUCAACCAUAGGCUCGGCGAAAUUGCAUUACGAGUAAAGAUGCUCGUUACGCGCGGCAGGACGGAAAGACCCCGGGACCUUUACUAUAGCUUGGUAUUGGUGUUCGGUUCGGCUUGCGUAGGAUAGGUGGGAGACUGUGAAGCGGCCACGCCAGUGGUUGUGGAGUCAACGUUGAAAUACCACUCUGGUCGUACUGGAUGUCUAACUUCGGACCGUGAUCCGGUUCAGGGACAGUGCCUGGUGGGUAGUUUAACUGGGGCGGUUGCCUCCUAAAGAGUAACGGAGGCGCCCAAAGGUUCCCUCAGCCUGGUUGGCAAUCAGGUGUUGAGUGUAAGUGCACAAGGGAGCUUGACUGUGAGACAGGCGUGUCGAGCAGGGACGUAAGUCGGGACUAGUGAUCCGGCGCCUCCUUGUGGAAGGGGUGUCGCUCAACGGAUAAAAGGUACCCCGGGGAUAACAGGCUGAUCUUGCCCAAGAGUCCAUAUCGACGGCAUGGUUUGGCACCUCGAUGUCGGCUCGUCGCAUCCUGGGGCUGGAGUAGGUCCCAAGGGUUGGGCUGUUCGCCCAUUAAAGCGGCACGCGAGCUGGGUUUGGAACGUCGUGAGACAGUUCGGUCCCUAUCCGCCGCGCGCGUAGGAGUCUUGCGGAAGGCUGUCCCUAGUACGAGAGGACCGGGACGGACGAACCUCUGGUGUGCCAGUUGUUCCGCCAGGAGCAUGGCUGGUUGGCUACGUUCGGAAGGGAUAACCGCUGAAAGCAUCUAAGCGGGAAGCCUGUUCCUAGAUGAGGGCUCCCACCCUUUGUGGGGUAAGGCCCCCGGUUAGACCACCGGGUUGAUAGGCCAGAAGUGGAAGCAUCGUGAGGUGUGGAGCUGACUGGUACUAAUAGGCCGAGGACC
rnacentral:rRNA from 1 species